UAGAGUUUGAUCAUGGCUCAGGACGAACGCUGGCGGCGUGCUUAACACAUGCAAGUCUACGAGAAUAAGGUAGCAAUAUCUUUAGUAAAGUGGCGCACGGGUGAGUAACACGUAAGCAAUCUACCUUUAGGUCUGGAAUAACUUCGAGAAAUCGAGGCUAAUACCGGAUAAUGCAGCGGCACCGCAUGGUGAUGUUGUUAAAGUUUGUGUAAUGCCUAAAGAUGAGCUUGCGUCUGAUUAGCUAGUUGGUAGGGUAAAAGCCUACCAAGGCAACGAUCAGUAGCUGGUCUGAGAGGAUGAUCAGCCACACUGGAACUGAGACACGGCCCAGACUCCUACGGGAGGCAGCAGUGAGGAAUAUUGGGCAAUGCCCGCAAGGGUGACCCAGCAACGCCGCGUGGAGGAUGAAGGCCGUAAGGUUGUAAACUCCUGUUAGAGGAGAAGAAUACUACCGAUUGGAUCGGUAUAUGACUGUACCCUCAGAGAAAGCCCCGGCUAACUACGUGCCAGCA
rnacentral:rRNA from 1 species